rnacentral:rRNA from 1 species
CUAAGAAUCUUCCGCAAUGGGGGCAACCCUGACGGAGCGAUGCCGCGUGAUCGACGAAGGUCGAGAGAUUGUAAAGAUCUUUUCUGGGAGAGGAAUAAGUGUGGGAGGAAAUGCCUGCAUGAUGACGUUAACCCAGGAAUAAGCCCCGGCCAAUUACGUGCCAGCAGCCGCGGUAACACGUAAGGGGCGAGCGUUGUUCGGAAUUAUUGGGCGUAAAGGGCGUGCAGGCGGCCCUGCAAGUCUGUUGUGAAAUCCCAGGGCUUAACUCUGGAUCCGCGAUGGAAACUGCUGGGCUUGAAUCUUGGAGGGGGAGUUGGAAUUCCUAGUGUAGGGGUGAAAUCUGUUGAUAUUAGGAAGAACACCGGUGGCGAAGGCGAACUCCUGGCCGAAGAUUGACGCU